UACGUAGGCAGCGAGCGUUGUUCGGAAUUACUGGGCGUAAAGGGCGCGUAGGCGGCCUUCUAAGUCGAACGUGAAAUCCCCGGGCUCAACCCGGGAACUGCGUCCGAUACUGGAAGGCUUGAAUCCGGGAGAGGGAUGUGGAAUUCCAGGUGUAGCGGUGAAAUGCGUAGAUAUCUGGAGGAACACCGGUGGCGAAGGCGACAUCCUGGACCGGUAUUGACGCUGAGGCGCGAAAGCCAGGGGAGCAAACGGG
rnacentral:rRNA from 1 species